rnacentral:tRNA from 1 species
UUAAUUGAAGCCAAAUAAAGAGGCAUAUUACUGUUAAUAAUAAAAUUGAAUUAAUAUUCCAAUUAAA